rnacentral:rRNA from 1 species
AGUAAAAGUCGUAACAAGGUCUCUGUUGGUGAACCAGCGGAGGGAUCAUUA